CAGCCGCGCUUCUAAGGGGCCCUAAGAUCACCUCCCAAUCUGAAGGCUCUAAAAGUCAAAGGCUGUAAAAAUCUUCCCUGGACUCUUUUCCAGAAUGAAAGUAGCAAGGCAUGGAGUUCCUCUGGUGCAUCAUCAAGAGAGUUCGGCAAAGGAGGGUAACUUCUAUCAGCUCAUGAAACUCAUUUCUCACUGGACCGACGAGAAAACGAAAGAAAGAUCCAGGGGAUUAAACUACUUCGGCAAAGACAACAAGGGUUGCUCACUCAAUUCUGGACAGAUGACCUUUCAUGCGUGAGCCCAACUCCACUAAUCAUAGGGAGAAAACUUGCCUCUGAAGCAUGCAGUCUCCUGUUCGGGGUGGGGAGGGACAGUGCUGGUGGUAGGAAGGACUUGAGUGGGGGAGAAAAGUAAAAGCAGAGCACAGGUAAAGGUAUUUUCAAAAUGAUAGAAAGAUCACAAUCCAAGAAUGCAUUUUUAACUCUACCCUUACAUUCUGUACGCUAAAGAAUUAAACCUGUGUAAACAUUUUUGCUAUCUUCCCUUAGUGCAAAACGAACAUACGAGAAAAAGCAGAAUUAAAGCAAUUUCCCAUGCAUUUUAGAGCAGACAGAGAUACAGACAGAAGUAUUAUAUUCUACUAUUUGCAUGGACAACCCUCCCACUACAGCAUCCUUUAUACUGAUCCAAUAUGAUCCGAACAAAAGGAUUAUAGGCAUGGAUUCACCAUAGGAAUGCACACAGCUACCCUCUUACCCCUUUGCCAAUCAAAACAAAAGCUAAAGAAAAUAAAGAUGGAACUCAUGUGUCGUUUGUUUGAA